GACGAACGCUGGCGGCGUGCUUAACACAUGCAAGUCGAACGGAAAGGCCCUGCUUUUGUGGGGUGCUCGAGUGGCGAACGGGUGAGUAACACGUGAGUAACCUGCCCUUGACUUUGGGAUAACUUCAGGAAACUGGGGCUAAUACCGGAUAGGAGCUCCUGCUGCAUGGUGGGGGGUGGAAAGUUUCGGCGGUUGGGGAUGGACUCGCGGCUUAUCAGCUUGUUGGUGGGGGAGUGGCUUACCAAGGCUUUGACGGGUAGCCGGCCUGAGAGGGUGACCGGCCACAUUGGGACUGAGAUACGGCCCAGACUCCUACGGGAGGCAGCAGUGGGGAAUAUUGCACAAUGGGCGGAAGCCUGAUGCAGCAACGCCGCGUGCGGGAUGACGGCCUUCGGGUUGUAAACCGCUUUCGCCUGUGACGAAGCAUGAGUGACGGUAAUGGGUAAAGAAGCACCGGCUAACUACGUG
rnacentral:rRNA from 1 species